UUUGGCAACUCCAUUCUCCUGGGCUCUGAGGGCUUCUUAAGAUAAGAACCAAGGGGCUUUUCAAAAUCACACCAUGACCACAGUUGUUUUGUGGGAGCUGGUAGCUUCUUCUAUCACUCUAGAUCUUUGACACCAGAAGGCUGCCUGGCUCCAAAUUCUUAAAAAUUGAAGAUGUCAGAGGAUGCAGCGGGUGAGUCCUGUGGACAUCAGAGGGGCUUCGACGCUGUGGAGCUGCUGUUCAGGUGGACACUGCUGGCCUCGAUCCCAUCAUGGAGACCACAUGGAUGCUGGGAAUGCAUCUCCCAUUGGCCGAGCUGAGGAUAUGAGUGGGCCAUGGAUGUUCCUGUGUGGCUUCAUUGGUGCAGAGGAGGAUCUGUUUACACCGACGGGCUCAUAUUGAUCCUUCUCGGGGAGGGGAAUGACAAUGCUGGCCUCUGUUUCGUCUCUGGAGUAUGCUGGAAGUGCUUGCCCCACCCCGGAGGGUGUCCUGUGAUCCCUCUUGGUUGGUGUGAUACUGAAUUACACCCCUGGAGGGUGAGCUCAUUCCUGGUCUCAGAAAACAAGUUUCUAACCAGGGUUGGGAUAGAGGAAAAACUCCAGGUAUUGGGUUCUUUGAGAAGCCCAUUGUCUCCAUGAAGUAAGUUGAAGGCACUGUUUUUUCAGAGUUGGGUCUCUGGAAAACAGGGAAGUCCACAGUUUCAUUUAAAAUGUACAUGAAAUGUCUCUGGGGAUACGAUGGAGAAAAAUUCUGAAAUAUACAUAACACUGAAAUCUCUGGGGUUUGAAUAUCACACAUCUUUUCCCCAAAGCCUUUAAAUCAUAUCAUGGUCUCUUUUUUAAAAAAACUUCAGCUGUCGUUUUGCUGGUGAGUUUUGUUUUCCUCCUUCAGAAACACUAUGGGCAUUUCAGGCCCAGUGUCCUGCUAUAGAGGAUAUGAAGUAGUAAAGAGAAGCACAGAGGGUCGUCUGCUGGAUCAGGAGACAGGGCCCAGGACAGAGAGGGCCUUGGGAGCAAAUGUCUGGAUUGCCAAAUCAGACUGUGUCUCCUAGGGACCAUCCUCACCUCAAGGUGGAGCCCUAGCAUGUGCUCCUCAUUACAUUCUUUGUUUUAAUAAUUUUUUUUUUUUUAGAGACGGGGUUUCACCAUGUUGGCCUGGCUGAUCUUGAAUUCCUGACCUCAGGUGAUCCACCCGCCUCGGCCUCCCAAAGUACUGGGAUUACAGGUGUGAGCCACCACGCCCGGCCAUUCCCCAUCACAUUCUUAUGACUUUCUUUUCAGCAGACUGAGGGAUCUACUAUAACUUUUCCCUGACCUGGCUUCACCAGUACAUGACAUUAGCAAAAUUAGCCUAUUCUUUAGUGACCUUCAAGAAAUUCUUUUUUUUUUUUAAAUAGAGACAGGGUUUUGCUAUGUUGACCAAGCUGGUCUUGAACUCUUGGGCUCAAGCGAUCCGCACACCUUGGCCUCCCCAAAUACUGGGAUUACAGGUAUGAGACACCACGCCUGGCCAAGAAACUCUGUCCCCACAUCUCUGUCUACUCUGGCCUCACCUCUGGGUAGAAUAAGGCACAGAAUCCACACCAUCCUCUUCCUUGAAUGCCCUCCAAUUUGGCUUCAGGAACCCUUGCUGGUCCCUAUAUGCAGAACCCUGGGACAGCUUAGCCUAUUUCCUCUUCUCUAGUCGGCUUCCUUUCAAUCCAUUCCCCACUCUGUAGCAAAUCUGCCUGUCAUUCCCCAACUUGAAGGGUUUUAACAGAUUUGCCGAGUUUUGAGGAAAAGUAUAAAGCUGUUUGUGUGGCAUUCAGAGUCCUUUGGAUUCUGGCACCUCUUCACCUCUCUCGCUUUAUCGUGUGCACACCAAGCUUCUUCCAGCCAGAUCUGCCCUGUGUUUCUGGCUGGCUUACCCCACACAAGUAUCCCACUGCCCCCAGUCUCUGCCUCUUCUUGCAGACUGCGAACAAGCAGGGUGGCAUCCUAUUUGUCUUCCUCUCCCCAGAACUUCACAAAAUACAGGUGGCAAAAUACACGGGCUCAGAAAUUGUUUGCUGAGUCAUUUUCAGUUGCAGUCUUUCCUAAUAUGUAUUAUAUACCUUUUUAAACAAAGCGAACUCAACAAACUGUAAUUGUUUCUUCCAGCUCAGUUGUUCUCCUGCAGAGACUGCUAGAUCACAAUUGUAUCAGGAUACCAUGUAGUCCUUAUGUUCCAGACUUGGGAGUGAAAGGAAAGCAUAUUUAGAGGGUGAUCUUGUAUUAACUAACAGCUUUUACAAACGAGUUGGACCAAAUGAUUCCACUCUUAGGACCCUAUAUUAUAAAAAUGCAAUUUUUGAGAUCAAAAUACUGGAACUAAUGGUUAAAAGGUGCAGCCACAUUGAUACCGCAGAAAAUUAGAUAGCUGUUAUUAAGGGGGGAGAUUUGUAUUUCUUUUCUUUCCUUUUUAUUUUUUUAUAAAGACAGGGUCCUUCUUUAUUGGUCAGGCUGGAGUGCUGCAGUGGUGCGAUUCUAGUUCACUGUAGCCUUGAAAUCCUGGGCUCAGGAGACCCUCCUUCCUGAGCCUUACAAAUAGCUGGAACUACAACCGCGAGCCUCCAUGCCCAGCUGAUUAUGUUAUUCUGUAGAGAUAGGGUCUUGCUUUGUUGCCCAGACUUGCCUCAAACUUCUGGGCUCAAGCCAUCCUCCUACCUCAGCCUGCCAAAGUGCUGGGAUUGCAGGAGUGAGCUGCCAUGCUUGGCCAGUUGUGUUUCUGACAUGAAGGACGCCUACGGUAUCAAGUGGUGAAGAAAGUGAAUUGGAGAAAAAUUUGAACAGUAUCAUCCUCAAACAUUCACGUGCAAUUUUUUUUGUAUGUAUAGAGAACGAUUUCAAAGGUUAUGUGUGAAACAGAAGACCAUGUCCAUUCCUGGGACUGGGAUAUAGAAAAGAGUAGGAGGAAUGGUUGAUUUUCUUUUUCUUUUUUUUUUGAGACAGAAUUUCACUCUUGUUGCCCAGGCUAGAGUGCAAUGACGUGAUCUUGGCUCACUGCAACCUCUGCCUCCCGAGUUCAAGUGAUUUUCCUGCCUCAGCCUCCUGAG